rnacentral:lncRNA from 1 species
GACAUAAUUAGCAAAGAUUGUUAUAUUUAUUCCAUCACUGUCAUAGGUUUGGACAGUUUGACUCUGUUGUUCUGAGUUUGUAACAUCCCUGCAGGGGUUGGGUGACUCGGUCAAGGACGACUGGACAAGCAAUAAAUUCUGGAAGCAGGUUGAACUUUCAGUUUACUAACUACACUACUCUUCUGGCUUUCCUUCGCUGUCUUGUGCAGCGUCUGCCACAUGAGGGGCAGAAUGAUUGUUGGAGGCAACAAGGUGGAUCUGCUUACCUCCGCCCUGGGACACGGUGUCGCUGCUGGGGGGAUCGAUGCUCACUGAGGAUGGAGGAGGAGAGGCAGGCAGGCAGCCAAGCAGUCAGCUGGAGGAAGCCCUCAACCUCAGCUCAAGUGACGCCGUCACCUAAGAGGUCCCAGCAGGCCCCCGCAGAGACAGAGAGGGGGUGCGCCGCCCGAUGCUGGAGCCAUGUCCUCUCACAAAGGAACACAGGCCAUCGUCCCCCAAAGGUUGAAGAGGACAGCGGGUAAUGGAUAUUGUAGGCUUCAGUCUAUAACAGGAAAAACCGAGACCACCGCUGACAGUUGUUUAAUUGGGAGUCAGAUAUUCUGACGCUAAUCGUUGGGAGAAGUCCAAUAUCGCUUAAAGUACAUUAAGACCAAGUAACAAAAGGAAGUAGGAAUAACACUAUAAAAAGCUGCCCAUUCACUGGUGAAGCCACCUGAUGAAGUGAGACUGCUGCUUAUAACUGUAACUAAACUAAAUGAUCUGUAAAACAUAUCCAUGGCCUCUCUACCCCAAAACAUAACCGGCCGGAGGUGGAAAAUUGUCAUUAUAGAGUUGCCUUUGGGAAGACUACUGUACCUGGAACAGGCUUAUGAAAGGCAAACUCCCCGUGUGGGGCCACCUCAUCAGUCUGUGCAGCCUGCGUGUCAGAGACAGCCUGCUGUUGACUGCAGCUCUAACGAAUCAGUGGCAAUGUGGAAGGAAGGGGCCCGGUGAAGCCCUGCGGGGUCACCUGGGAGCAGGACAAUGAGUCUGGAAGGCCCCAAGCUCCCAAUGAUUUAAUCACUGUAUGUGACAUGUUCAGCCAGUGGCAUCAGUGGGAGAUACAGUAGUUUGCUCACUGAGGACUGAGCUGUGAUACUGCAGCAGGAGGUGUUGUGUGGUUAAAAUGUUCAUAUUGUUGUAUUGAGAGUCAAGAAUGAAAAAAAAGCUGCUGUUUUAAAAAGAGUGAAACUGUUUCACAGAUGAGACUGUUAACCAGAGAUAACUUCUUGGCUUCUCUACACACAGACGUCACCUUUGACCUCUCCAAUUCAAACAGGGCCGGUGCAGGUUCGCCACCCUGCUGGCGUAUAAAUAACAGAGCGCACGUCCGAGACGAUCGCCUCUGGAGAGAAGCUACUGCAUCAGCGAGUUCUGCAACCCCAGUGACUGUUGCCCUCGCUGGGGGUUAAAGGUCAAUAAUAGAGCAAUUCCAAGUAGAAGAAUGUGUAACACUAUGGUUUGUGGCAGUGUCUGGGCUGGAAUUCACUUUGUGGGAGUCAAUAAACACAGGAUGAAGUACGGUACA